UUGAAUGAUGACUUGGAUUGUCG
rnacentral:piRNA from 1 species